CCUACGGGAGGCUGCAGUCGAGAAUCAUUCACAAUGGGGGAAACCCUGAUGGGGCGACGCCGCGUGGGGGAAUGAAGGUCUUCGGAUUGUAAACCCCUGUCAUGUGGGAGCAAAUUAAAAAGAUAGUACCACAAGAGGAAGAGACGGCUAACUCUGUGCCAGCAGCCGCGGUAAUACAGAGGUCUCAAGCGUUGUUCGGAAUCACUGGGCGUAAAGCGUGCGUAGGCUGUUUCGUAAGUCGUGUGUGAAAGGCGCGGGCUCAACCCGCGGACGGCACAUGAUACUGCGAGACUAGAGUGAUGGAGGGGGAACCGGAAUUCUCGGUGUAGCAGUGAAAUGCGUAGAUAUCGAGAGGAACACUCGUGGCGAAGGCGGGUUCCUGGACAUUAACUGACGCUGAGGCACGAAGGCCAGGGGAGCGAAAGGGAUUAGAUACCCCAGUAGUC
rnacentral:rRNA from 1 species